rnacentral:rRNA from 1 species
UACGGGGGGGGCAAGCGUUGUUCGGAAUUACUGGGCGUAAAGGGUGCGUAGGCGGUUCGCUAAGUCGGAUGUGAGAACUCUGGGCUCAACCCAGAGCCUGCAUCCAAAACUGGCGGGCUAGAGUUCUGGAGGGGGUAGCGGAAUUCCUGGUGUAGCGGUGAAAUGCGUAGAUAUCAGGAGGAACACCGGUGGCGAAGGCGGCUACCUGGACAGAAACUGACGCUGAGGCACGAAAGCUAGGGGAGCAAACAGG